AACGUAGGAGACGAGCGUUAUCCGGAAUUACUGGGCGUAAAGGGCGUGUAGGCGGAUCGACAAGUUCGUCGUGAAAGCUCCCGGCUCAACCGGGAGAGGUCGAGGGAUACUGUCGGUCUAGAGUGCGAGAGAGGGACGUGGAAUUCCGGGUGUAGUGGUGAAAUGCGUAGAGAUCCGGAGGAACACCAGUGGCGAAGGCGGCGUCCUGGCUCGCAACUGACGCUCAGACGCGAAAGCAUGGGGAGCGAACGGG
rnacentral:rRNA from 1 species